CAGCCGCCACGGUAAUACGUAGGGUGCAAGCGUUAAUCGGAUUUACUGGGCGUAAAGCGUGCGUAGGCGGCUUCUUAAGUCGGAUGUGAAAUCCCUGAGCUUAACUUAGGAAUUGCAUUCGAUACUGGGAAGCUAGAGUAUGGGAGAGGAUGGUAGAAUUCCAGGUGUAGCGGUGAAAUGCGUAGAGAUCUGGAGGAAUACCGAUGGCGAAGGCAGCCAUCUGGCCUAAUACUGACGCUGAGGUACGAAAGCAUGGGGAGCAAACAGGAUUAGAUACCCCUGUAGUCCCUGUCUCUUAUAC
rnacentral:rRNA from 1 species